rnacentral:rRNA from 1 species
UGGGGAAUAUUGGACAAUGGGCGCAAGCCUGAUCCAGCAAUGCCGCGUGGGUGAAGAAGGCCUUCGGGUUGUAAAGCCCUUUCAGCAGGGAAGAAAGGCUUGUGGUGAAUAGCCACGAGUGCUGACGGUACCUGCAGAAGAAGCACCGGCUAACGCCGUGCCAGCAGCCGCGGUAAUACGGAGGGUGCAAGCGUUAAUCGGAAUUACUGGGCGUAAAGGGCGCGUAGGCGGAUAUUUAAGUCGGGUGUGAAAGCCCCGGGCUCAACCUGGGAAUUGCAUUCGAUACUGGAUUGCUGGAGUGUAGUAGAGGGAAGCGGAAUUCCGGGUGUAGCGGUGAAAUGCGUAGAUAUCCGGAGGAACAUCAGUGGCGAAGGCGGCUUCCUGGACUAACACUGACGCUGAUGCGCGAAAGCGUGGGGAGCAAACAGGAUUAGAUACCCCUGUAGUCC